rnacentral:rRNA from 1 species
CCUACGGGGUGCAGCAGUGAGGAAUAUUGGUCAAUGGGCUUACGCCUGAACCAGCCAAGUCGCGUGAGGGAAGACUGCCCUAUGGGUUGUAAACCUCUUUUGUCAGGGAGCAAUUGGCGCUACGUGUAGCGUUAUCGAGAGUACCUGAAGAAAAAGCAUCGGCUAACUCCGUGCCAGCAGCCGCGGUAAUACGGAGGAUGCGAGCGUUAUCCGGAUUUAUUGGGUUUAAAGGGUGCGUAGGCGGAAUGCCAAGUCAGCGGUAAAAUCGCGGGGCUCAACCUCGCUCCGCCGUUGAAACUGGCGGUCUUGAGUGGGGGAGAAGUAUGCGGAAUGCGUGGUGUAGCGGUGAAAUGCAUAGAUAUCACGCAGAACUCCGAUUGCGAAGGCAGCAUACCGGCGCCCAACUGACGCUGAAGCACGAAAGCGUGGGUAUCGAACAGGAUUAGAUACCCCUGGUAGUC